AGUCGGUGUACAAUCGAGAAGAGAACCAGCCAGGACCUUCAUCCUUUCGUUAAGGUUUGCUAAGAUAGUUGAGGAGCAUAACCUGACGUCUGAGCAGAUUUACAACGCCGGCAAGACUGGCCUGUUCUACCGCUGUCUGCCAAGAACCACUCGUGACGUGAUGGGGUUCAAACAGAGCAAGGACAGGCUGACAGUUCUGUGCUGCGCUAACAUGGCUGGUACGCACAAAGUCAAGUUGUGCGUGGUUGGCAAGCACAAGAAGCCGCGCUGUUUUAAGAACGUGAAUUACCUGCCUGUCGAUUAUCGUAACCAACGAAGUGCUUGGAUGACAGCUGAAAUUUUCCUUGACUGGUUCAAGCAUUGCUUUGUGCCAUCUGUCAAGGAAGAUCUGAAGAAAAAUGGUCUCCCAGAGGACAGUAUGGUAGUUUUAUUAUUAGAUAAUUGUAGAGCUCAUCCACCAGCAGAGGAACUUGUUGUAGGAAAUAUUUUUGCUGUAUAUUUUCCCCCUAAUGUCACAAGUGUUAUUCAACCCAUGGAUCAGGGAGUCAUUCAAAAUUUUAAGAUUAACUAUCGUAAGAGUUUCCUUCGCAAACUUGUUAAUUAUGAGGACGGCACAAUCCCCGAGUUCCAAAAACAGUUUAAUGUUAAGGAUGCGAUAUUCAUGGCUUCACUUGCUUGGCUAGACGUUAAAAGGCAAACAUUGAUGCGAUGUUGGCGCAAAUUGUACCCUUUGAUUAUGUUUGAUGAUGAGGAUGAUGAGGAGUUUGAAGGGUUUGGAGGUGGCAUGAAAAAUUCGGUGGUGAGCGAGCUGAGGGAAAUGGGGGGAAAUGUGCAACUUAAAGUGACAGAUGAAGCGUUACGGGAAUGGGUGGACGUGGAUGAAAAUCAGGCCGUAACAUUCACUCUCACAGACGAGGAACUUAUCAACGCUGUAGUAGAAGAUCAUUUAGAGAAAAUUAGAUGAUGAUGAUGAUGAUGAUGAUAAUGAGCCUAAAGUAACUUGGGAACAGGCUGCGAAACACAUAGCUGGCUUUGUCAGGUUUGCUGAGCAGUGCACAUACAUGUCAACCCGAGAUGUUAUGACCCUUCACUGCAUUGAGAAUGAGUUCUUGUUGCAAAGAAGAAAGAGCUGCAAACAAGAAGACAUUAGAAACUAUUUUAAAGUAGCGUGUAAGGGAAAAGAAGUGCGGCAAACAAGUACAGAAUCUGAUGAUGACCCGGAGGGUGUUGAAUGAGAGGUGUGGGGAGCGAAAAAGUGUCACAAACACUCGUACAUUUUCAUAUCUUUAUUACAUGUAUACUUUAUUUUUGUAACCCAUCAAUUUAUUUAUAAGAGGAAAGUAUUAAAGAGAAUGUUAGUAAUGGAUGUUGGUGAGUGUGAGGUGGCAGCGUGAGUGGCGACGCGCGGCACGGCGAUCAGCUGAUCUUUGUUAUGAAGUGGACGACAUGCUCAGGUGAAGAACAGGCCGCUGUUGAGUGUUCUGUAUGGGGAUGGCAGAGCUGCAGAGGAAACCAUUUGUGCCAACGGGGUCUUUCUCAUCUGAUGCCACCUGAUCAACUUCAUCUUUGCUUACCUGCAAAGGAAUCAAUUCAAAGUGUCUGCAUUCUCAUGGUACCACUACUAAGGAGGAUGAACUGAUAAUGCAGAUGGGUGAAGAAGGUGAGGAAGCCAUAGCUAAUGAAGUGAUCAAAGAGCUUCUGCAACUUGACACCUCAAUGAGAACCAUAAGGAAUCCCCUCCAUGCUGUGGGAAUUUGUUGCUGAACACCGGCAAAAAAAAUGUUCUCACAGAAGCUCAUACAAUGACCAGGUUACAAUUUGCUCAUCAACACCAACAUAAAGAUCCAGACUUCUGGUCUAAGAUCGUAUUUGUUGGCAAAAAGACUUUCCCUUUAUCAGAUCAUGGCUGACUAUGUGUCUGGAGGAGAGAUAUCACCAGGUAUGACCAAAGAAACAUCUUCAGGAUUGCAGAAGUGGCCAUGUAAUCACAAAUGGAUGGAUGGAUGGAAGGUAUCAGUGAUAUUAUGAGGAAUGACGGUCAUUUCACAGCUGACAAAUAUACUGAAAUUUUAGACAAUUCCCUCUCUUAGAAAUAACAUAAGUGAUAGAUCAGAACCACCUGGAAAGGGAGGCCGUCUCAUAAUUCUGCACCCAGGAACAAGAAAUGGUCUCAUCAACAAUGUAUUCUCACAGGCAAAAAACGACGCAGAUUUUCAUCAUAAGCAGAUAAAUUCCAUGGUGUUUGAAGAGUAGUUCAAGAAUCAGCUGCUGUUGUCCAAUAUUGCACCAAACUCCAUCAUCAUCAUAGACAAUGCUUCCUACCACUUCAUGCUACAAGAAAAAUACCAGUCAUCGUGAAGGAAGGCAGAACUGAAGGAAUGGCUUGAAAGGAAAGGUGCUCAGCCCACUGAUAAACUACUGAAGAUGGAGUUGUAUGAUCUCACAAAGAAAUGUGGAGUCACCAAAGAAUACUGCACUGACAACAUAGCAGACUUGGCAGGAUCUAGGGGUUCUGAAGUAACCAGCCCUACCACUGUCAGUAUAAUGCUAUUGAGCUCAUUUGGGCUCAGGUCAAGCAUAACAACUUUAAAAUGGGUGACUUGAAACUCUUUGAGUCGCAUCAUGCCACACAACUGGAUGCAUGCUGUUGCCUAGGCUGAACUCCUUCAAGAGGAAGACAGACAUAGCAGUUGAUCACUUCAUUGAUUCUCUAACCAUCAACAUUGCUGAAAGUUCUGAAGAAGUGUCUUCUGAUCACGGAUCAGAAAGGAUUAGGCCUCCAGGGGGAAACUUCUAUAAAAAACAUGCCUUGACUUUUAAUGGGUCACUGGGGUCAGCCAGCAGCUCAGCACAGUGGUUCUUACCAGACCUCCACACAAGACACUCACUCGCAUGAGUUAAGGCCAGGGUUAUAAGUGCAUGAAAUGUGAAGUGUUCGAAAUUCAGAUGAACAAAGAAAUGGUUUAUGAAUGUGCAGUGAAGGCAGUGACAGUGGAUAGUUUAUCUUUGCCUGUAUUUGAAUUUCAAACUUAAUGUCACCUGUUUUGAGUAAAUUAAGAUUAGAGGGUAGUGCCGCGCGCCCGAGCGCGGGAAACUCGUGCAAGCUUGUCAUACUUGUCGUCUUUGUGUAUUUAUUAUGCUGCUAUUUUUUAGUCACUAUAUUGCCUUCGAAGAGCAAAGUG
rnacentral:misc_RNA from 1 species